rnacentral:rRNA from 1 species
UACGUAGGGAGCAAGCGUUGUCCGGAAUCAUUGGGCGUAAAGAGCGUGUAGGCGGCCCGGUAAGUCCGCUGUGAAAGUCGGGGGCUCAACCCUCGAAUGCCGGUGGAUACUGUCGGGCUAGAGUGCGGAAGAGGCGAGUGGAAUUCCUGGUGUAGCGGUGAAAUGCGCAGAUAUCAGGAGGAACACCAAUUGCGAAGGCAGCUCGCUGGGACGUAACUGACGCUGAGACGCGAAAGCGUGGGGAGCAAACAGG